UUAAGCGACUAAGCGUACACGGUGGAUGCCCUGGCAGUCAGAGGCGAUGAAGGACGUGCUAAUCUGCGAAAAGCGUCGGUAAGGUGAUAUGAACCGUUACAGCCGGCGAUGUCCGAAUGGGGAAACCCAGUGCAAUUCGUUGCACUAUCGUUAACUGAAUACAUAGGUUAACGAAGCGAACCGGGGGAACUGAAACAUCUAAGUACCCCGAGGAAAAGAAAUCAACCGAGAUUCCCCCAGUAGCGGCGAGCGAACGGGGAGCAGCCCAGAGUCUGAAUCAGCUUGUGUGUUAGUGGAACGGUCUGGAAAGUCCGACGGUACAGGGUGAUAGUCCCGUACACCAAAAUGCACAGGCUGUGAACUCGAAGAGUAGGGCGGGACACGUGGUAUCCUGUCUGAAUAUGGGGGGACCAUCCUCCAAGGCUAAAUACUCCUGACUGACCGAUAGUGAACCAGUACCGUGAGGGAAAGGCGAAAAGAACCCCGGCGAGGGGAGUGAAAAAGAACCUGAAACCGUGUACGUACAAGCAGUGGGAGCACCUUCGGGUGUGACUGCGUACCUUUUGUAUAAUGGGUCAGCGACUUAUAUUCUGUAGCAAGGUUAACCGUAUAGGGGAGCCGCAGGGAAACCGAGUCUUAACUGGGCGUUAAGUUGCAGGGUAUAGACCCGAAACCCGGUGAUUCAGCCAUGGGCAGGUUGAAGGUUGGGUAACACUAACUGGAGGACCGAACCGACUAAUGUUGAAAAAUUAGCGGAUGACUUGUGGCUGGGGUGAAAGGCCAAUCAAACCGGGAGAUAGCUGGUUCUCCCGAAAGCUAUUUAGGUAGCGCCUCGUGAACUCAUCUUCGGGGGUAGAGCACUGUUUCGGCUAGGGGGUCAUCCCGACUUACCAACCCGAUGCAAACUACGAAUACCGAAGAAUGUUAUCACGGGAGACACACGGCGGGUGCUAACGUCCGUCGUGAAGAGGGAAACAACCCAGACCGCCAGCUAAGGUCCCAAAGUCAUGGUUAAGUGGGAAACGAUGUGGGAAGGCACAGACAGCCGGAUGUUGGCUUAGAAGCAGCCAUCAUUUAAAGAAAGCGUAAUAGCUCACUGGUCGAGUCGGCCUGCGCGGAAGAUGUAACGGGCUAAACCAUGCACCGAAGCUGCGGCAGCGACACUAUGUGUUGUUGGGUAGGGGAGCGUUCUGUAAGCCUGCGAAGGUGUGCUGUGAGGCAUGCUGGAGGUAUCAGAAGUGCGAAUGCUGACAUAAGUAACGAUAAAGCGGGUGAAAAGCCCGCUCGCCGGAAGACCAAGGGUUCCUGUCCAACGUUAAUCGGGGCAGGGUGAGUCGACCCCUAAGGCGAGGCCGAAAGGCGUAGUCGAUGGGAAACAGGUUAAUAUUCCUGUACUUGGUGUUACUGCGAAGGGGACGGAGAAGGCUAUGUUAGCCGGGCGACGGUUGUCCCGGUUUAAGAUAGGCUGGUUAUCCGGCAAAUCCGGAUAAUCAAGGCUGAGGUGUGAUGACGAGGCACUACGGUGCUGAAGUAACAAAUGCCCUGCUUCCAGGAAAAGCCUCUAAGCAUCAGGUAACAUCAAAUCGUACCCCAAACCGACACAGGUGGUCAGGUAGAGAAUACCAAGGCGCUUGAGAGAACUCGGGUGAAGGAACUAGGCAAAAUGGUGCCGUAACUUCGGGAGAAGGCACGCUGGUGUGUAGGUGAAGUCCCUGCGGAUGGAGCUGAGACCAGUCGAAGAUACCAGCUGGCUGCAACUGUUUAUUAAAACACAGCACUGUGCAAACACGAAAGUGGACGUAUACGGUGUGACGCCUGCCCGGUGCCGGAAGGUUAAUUGAUGGGGUUAUCCGUAAGGAGAAGCUCUUGAUCGAAGCCCGGUAAACGGCGGCCGUAACUAUAACGGUCCUAAGGUAGCGAAAUUCCUUGUCGGGUAAGUUCCGACCUGCACGAAUGGCGUAAUGAUGGCCAGGCUGUCUCCACCCGAGACUCAGUGAAAUUGAACUCGCUGUGAAGAUGCAGUGUACCCGCGGCAAGACGGAAAGACCCCGUGAACCUUUACUAUAGCUUGACACUGAACAUUGAGCCUUGAUGUGUAGGAUAGGUGGGAGGCUUUGAAGCGUGGACGCCAGUCUGCGUGGAGCCAACCUUGAAAUACCACCCUUUAAUGUUUGAUGUUCUAACGUUGGCCCCUGACCGGGGUUGCGGACAGUGUCUGGUGGGUAGUUUGACUGGGGCGGUCUCCUCCCAAAGCGUAACGGAGGAGCACGAAGGUUAGCUAAUCCUGGUCGGACAUCAGGAGGUUAGUGCAAUGGCAUAAGCUAGCUUGACUGCGAGCGUGACGGCGCGAGCAGGUGCGAAAGCAGGUCAUAGUGAUCCGGUGGUUCUGAAUGGAAGGGCCAUCGCUCAACGGAUAAAAGGUACUCCGGGGAUAACAGGCUGAUACCGCCCAAGAGUUCAUAUCGACGGCGGUGUUUGGCACCUCGAUGUCGGCUCAUCACAUCCUGGGGCUGAAGUAGGUCCCAAGGGUAUGGCUGUUCGCCAUUUAAAGUGGUACGCGAGCUGGGUUUAGAACGUCGUGAGACAGUUCGGUCCCUAUCUGCCGUGGGCGCUGGAGAAUUGAGGGGGGCUGCUCCUAGUACGAGAGGACCGGAGUGGACGCAUCACUGGUGUUCGGGUUGUCAUGCCAAUGGCACUGCCCGGUAGCUAAAUGCGGAAGAGAUAAGUGCUGAAAGCAUCUAAGCACGAAACUUGCCCCGAGAUGAGUUCUCCCUGAGACUUUAAGUCUCCUGAAGGAACGUUAAAGACGAUGACGUUGAUAGGCCGGGUGUGUAAGCGCAGCGAUGCGUUGAGCUAACCGGUACUAAUGAACCGUGAGGCUUAACCU
rnacentral:rRNA from 1 species